UACGUAGGCAGCGAGCGUUGUUCGGAGUUACUGGGUGUAAAGAGUGCGUAGGCGGUUUUCUAAGUUUGGUGUGAAAUCUCCCGGCUUAACUGGGAGGGUGCGCCGAAGACUGGAAGGCUUGAGUAUGGGAGAGGUAAGCGGAAUUCCUGGUGUAGCGGUGAAAUGCGUAGAUAUCAGGAGGAACACCUGCGGUGUAGACGGCUUACUGGACCAUCACUGACGCUGAGGCACGAAAGCGUGGGUAGCAAACAGG
rnacentral:rRNA from 1 species